rnacentral:rRNA from 1 species
GGGGAAUCUUCCGCAAUGGACGAAAGUCUGACGGAGCAACGCCGCGCGAGUGAUGACGGCCUUCGGGUUGUAAAGCUCUGUUAAUCGGGACGAAUGGUUCUUGUGCGAAUAGUGCGAGGAUUUGACGGUACCGGAAUAGAAAGCCACGGCUAACUACGUGCCAGCAGCCGCGGUAAUACGUAGGUGGCAAGCGUUGUCCGGAAUUAUUGGGCGUAAAGCGCGCGCAGGCGGAUUGGUCAGUCUGUCUUAAAAGUUCGGGGCUUAACCCCGUGAUGGGAUGGAAACUGCCAAUCUAGAGUAUCGGAGAGGAAAGUGGAAUUCCUAGUGUAGCGGUGAAAUGCGUAGAUAUUAGGAAGAACACCAGUGGCGAAGGCGACUUUCUGGACGAAAACUGACGCUGAGGCGCGAAAGCCAGGGGAGCGAACGGGAUUAGAUACCCCGGUAGUCCUGGCCGUAAACGAUGGGUACUAGGUGUAGGAGGUAUCGACCCCUUCUGUGCCGGAGUUAACGCAAUAAGUACCCCGCCUGGGGAGUACGACCGCAAGGUUG